rnacentral:rRNA from 1 species
GCCUGAUCCGCCAUGCCGCGUGCAGGAUGACGGUCCUAUGGAUUGUAAACUGCUUUUAUACGAGAAGAAACACUGAUUCGUGAAUCAUCUUGACGGUAUCGUAAGAAUAAGGAUCGGCUAACUCCGUGCCAGCAGCCGCGGUAAUACGGAGGAUCCAAGCGUUAUCCGGAAUCAUUGGGUUUAAAGGGUCCGUAGGCGGUUUAAUAAGUCAGUGGUGAAAGCCCAUCGCUCAACGGUGGAACGGCCAUUGAUACUGUUAGACUUGAAUUAUUAGGAAGUAACUAGAAUAUGUAGUGUAGCGGUGAAAUGCUUAGAGAUUACAUGGAAUACCAAUUGCGAAGGCAGGUUACUACUAAUGGAUUGACGCUGAUGGACGAAAGCGUGGGUAGCGAACAGGAUUACAUACCCUGGUAGUCCACGCCGUAAACGAUGGAUACUAGCUGUUGGAAGCAAUUUCAGUGGCUAAGCGAAAGUGAUAAGUAUCCCACCUGGGGAGUACGUUCGCAAGAAUGAAACUCAAAGGAAUUGACGGGGGCCCGCACAAGCGGUGGAGCAUGUGGUUUAAUUCGAUGAUACGCGAGGAACCUUACCAAGGCUUACAUGUAGAUUGACCGUUUUGGAAACAGAACUUUCG